GCCUACGGGGGGCAGCAGUAGGGAAUUUUCGUCUAUGGGCACAAGCCUGAACGAGCAAUGCCGCGUGAACGAGGAAGGUCUUCGGAUCGUAAAGUUCUGUUGAAGGGGAAAAAGAGCGGAGAGAGGAAAUGGUCUCCGAUUGAUAUUACCCUUCGAGGAAGUCACGGCUAACUACGUGCCAGCAGCCGCGGUAAUACGUAGGUGGCGAGCGUUAUCCGGAAUGAUUGGGCGUAAAGGGUGCGUAGGCGGCCUGCUAAGUCUGGAGUGAAAGGAACCGGCUCAACCGGUACAGGCUCUGGAAACUG
rnacentral:rRNA from 1 species